rnacentral:tRNA from 1 species
GCGCCGGUGGUGUAAGGCGAACAUCGCUGCCCGGAAAGCAGAAGAUGCGGGUUUGAGUCCUGCCUUGCGCA